UCCAAAUAUGAUUGUCUUUCUCAGUGCCCUUCAUCUUCUUUCUUCUCAGUCGACGUUACUACCUGCGUAAAUGUUAAUCAAUCAAGCUGAAGGUUAGCCGCUGUAGACAGACAAAACUACUUUGUUUUGGGAGGCCCUAAAGGUUAUUGUUGUUCCUUUCAGGCGACGCUCAUCUAAGCCUUUAUCAUCAUCUUAACACCUUCAAAGAUCUCCAGAGACAAGGCUCGCUGUAUGAGUUUGGUGACGCUUCUGUCGCGAUAAGAUUUACGGAUCAGACCGUCUUGGUUGAUCUCGCAUCACCCAGCCAACCGAUCUUGACAGAACGUUUUAGGUUCAGCAAUUAUGACCAACUCAUGACACUCACUAACACCAACUGAUUUGUUAGGUCCUGUUUCAGUACAUUCCCCUCAUAAUCACUCCAUUUUUAUUAUUUCACCUUAUUAUUGCCUUAUUUUUAUGCUUUCAUGUAGAUAUUUAUCUUACGGGAAGGUUAGGGGUAUCAAAACGUUUUCCAAUGAUGAGACCAAAGUACUCAAUGCAUCAUGGGAACCAUGAAAUUUGAAAGUAUUAGGUUUGAUCUAUCCAGGGAGUCAAGCGUGUACCUCAGUGUAUUUGACUGCCUUGCUAAGUUCCUCAAUGAGAAGUUUGCUGCCUCUGGUGUGGAACCAAAGGUGGUAGUGCCAGCAAACAUAAACCCAAAGUAAGUUGGAGGUCGGCUCAUUCUGAAAUGCCGCUAUCACAUUGUCUAGAAGACAUUGUUGGCAGCAUUCUGACCUUUGAAUUGAAACUCUCUCCAUUCAACUUCUCUACCAACUAUCAAAGUUUCACCAUCUCUCGCUUUUUUAAAAGCCACCAGCGACCACCACUACCUUUGUUUGAGAAUCAUGGUGGUGAUGACAUGCCUGGUGGUAGUGCUUUGAAAAGGAGUCCUCUAGGUUUGAACAGUCGUGACCUGAACUAAAGUGGCUGCAGUGGUGAUUCGAUUGUUGAGGGCGAGAGAGCAACCACUGGUUUAAACAGUCGUGCCUGAAAAAACUAUGUUGUUUUUUUUAAUGAGUUUCCUGGGAUUUAUGCUCUGAAUUUUAUGCUAAAAUAGUAACUCUUCGUACUCA